AUUGAACGCUGGCGGCAUGCCUUACACAUGCAAGUCGAACGGCAGCACGGGGGGCAACCCUGGUGGCGAGUGGCGAACGGGUGAGUAAUACAUCGGAACGUGCCCUGAAGUGGGGGGAUAACGUAGCGAAAGUUACGCUAAUACCGCAUAUUCUGUGAGCAGGAAAGCAGGGGAUCUUCGGACCUUGUGCUUUAGGAGCGGCCGAUGUCGGAUUAGCUAGUUGGUGAGGUAAAGGCUCACCAAGGCGACGAUCCGUAGCGGGUCUGAGAGGAUGAUCCGCCACACUGGGACUGAGACACGGCCCAGACUCCUACGGGAGGCAGCAGUGGGGAAUUUUGGACAAUGGGCGCAAGCCUGAUCCAGCCAUGCCGCGUGAGUGAAGAAGGCCUUCGGGUUGUAAGACUCUUCGUUGGGUAGAAUUAGCUAGUUAAUACUUAAGUAGAUGACGGUACAGCAUAAGAAGACACCGGACUAACUACGUAGCCAGCAGCCGCGGUAACG
rnacentral:rRNA from 1 species